GACGAACGCUGGCGGCGUGCUUAACACAUGCAAGUCGAACGGAAAGGCCCUGCUUUUGUGGGGUGCUCGAGUGGCGAACGGGUGAGUAACACGUGAGUAACCUGCCCUUGACUUUGGGAUAACUCCAGGAAACUGGGGCUAAUACCGGAUAGGAGCUCCUGCUGCAUGGUGGGGGUUGGAAAGUUUCGGCGGUUGGGGAUGGACUCGCGGCUUAUCAGCUUGUUGGUGGGGUAGUGGCUUACCAAGGCUUUGACGGGUAGCCGGCCUGAGAGGGUGACCGGCCACAUUGGGACUGAGAUACGGCCCAGAAUCCUACGGGAGGCAGCAGUGGGGAAUAUUGCACAAUGGGCGGAAGCCUGAUGCAGCAACGCCGCGUGCGGGAUGACGGCCUUCGGGUUGUAAACCGCUUUCGCCUGUGACGAAGCGUGAGUGACGGUAAUGGGUAAAGAAGCACCGGCUAACUACGUG
rnacentral:rRNA from 1 species